CAUCACCACCGCCCACAGGCCUUUGCCGGCCACGUCUCGACUCCCCCGAUCGUUACUGCCACUUCCCAGGCCACAGCCUUCUCUGGCCACAUCCCAACACUUGCCCUGUCCCCGACGGACCAUUAGCGGCUUCUUCUGGACCUUUCAGAGAUAAGCGAGUGGACCUUGGCAGUGUAGGGCCCAGUCCUAUGGGAACAAGGGAUGGGGGUUUCAGAUUGCAGUCCUUGGUUCCAGUCCUUGGAGGGCUUAGAUGCCGCCUCCACAGGCACCCGGAUAUGAAUAUGACCCUAGGGAGGCCCACCCCAGGGUAUCCAGAGCUGAGAAAAGACAGAGGUUUUACAGGCCAUCAAAGAUUCGGUGGUGUCCUCUCUAGGGACUUCCCUCUACCAGAGGAGCUUAAAAAAACUCUCUUGUGUUCCCAGGAGGAUGGCAGAUGGUGAGCAAGCUUUCGAAACCAUGUCGCUGGGGACAUUAAGCUUGGAGAAAGUGACAGUAGGGAUACAGUUUUGAAGUGACCAAAGGGUUGACUUGUGGAAGGAUGAGACCUUGUUCUGUUUUCCUGGAGAGUGUGUGGAGGGUCAAGGGACUGAUGUUUGAAGGGAAAGCUUCAAAACUUUUUAAAGAAACCUUCAGAAUGGCUUUGAACCCGACAAGCUAGACAUCGCUUCAGAGCACCGCCUUCAGCAUGCAUCUGCCCUGUCAGGCUUCCCUGGCAAAGGGGUCGUUCUUUGAAGGGGUCGUUCUGCAGAGGGCCAGGGAAACGAUGCUCACGGAACCAGAUUGGUGGAUUUGACUUUCUGGUAGAAUUCUCUUGCUUUAUUGAUUUUUUUCCCAGAGCUCUGAGAGGCUGGAGGUAUUGAUGGGACCGAAGGGCCUGGAAGGAAGGGAAGAAGCAUUUUCAUGCUGAAUGAAAACUAGACAAGUGACUGUUGGAGACUGAAAACACCUAAACGUCCCACAUCCGGAUUCAGCGGAGGAACUGUCACUGCUGGGGAGAAAGAAGCCAGACUGGAAAAGAAAACCCAAAUAAAGAGAAUGAGGGCCACCGAAGAGUAAAUGGCCACCUCCACCUCGACAGAGACCAAGUCAGCCUCCUGGUGGAAUUAUUUUUUCCUUUAUGAUGGUUCCAAGGUGAAGGGAGAAGGAGAUCCAACCAGAGCUGGCAUCUGUUACUUUUUUCCCCCUCAGACCCUGCUUGACCAACAGGAGCUGCUCUGUGGACAGAUCGCCGGGGUUGUCCACUGCAUUUCUGACAUUUCCGGCUCUCCUCCCACCAUCGUCCGUCUGCGGAAACUUAAGUUCGCCAUAAAGGUUGACGGCGAUUACCUUUGGGUGCUGGGCUGUGCUGUUGAGCUCCCUGACGUCAGCUGCAAGCAGCUUCUGGAUCAGCUCAUCGGCUUCUUUAAUUUUUACAAUGGGCCUGUUUCUCUGGCCUACAAGAGCUGCUCUCGGGACGAACUGAGUGGGGAGUGGGACACCUUCAUUGACCAGAUCCUGAGAAACACCGGUGACCUGCAUAAGAUAUUCAACUCCCUCUGGAACCUGGACCGAACGAAAGUGGAGCCCCUGCUGUUGCUGAAGGCGGCCCUCAUUCUGCAGACCUGCCAGCGCUCGCCCCACGUUCUAGCCGGCUGCAUCCUCUAUAAGGGGCUGAUCGUUAGCACCCAGCUCCCACCCUCUGUCACAGCCAAGGUUCUGCUUCAUCGAGCUGCACGUCGGGACCAGAGAAAACCUCUAGGAGGGGAUGCCCUGCAGGAACACGGAGCAGCACUCCCUCCAAACGUCCAGAUUGUGCCUGUUUUCCUGACCGAAGAGGAAGCUGUCAGUCUCCGUGAGUUCCCCCGGGAGCCCACGACCAGCACUCUGGCAUCUCCAGCCAGACUCCCGGAGCCCCCAGCCCAGCGCCCUCCAAAGGGUUUGAACACAUCUGCCCCGAAAGAAAACGCCCCCAGACACGUGGAAUCCACGGCUCGGAUCUCAGCGACCAGCCCUGAGCCCACGUCUCCUGACGUCACCUGGCCAAAUGGCAGCGGGGAGAACGGACACUGGUCAGACUGUGAUCUGAAAAGCAUCAAGCCCCCAACACCGCACCACGCCACCGGGGGCCGGGGGCCUGGGCUCGGCCUCUCCCUGGUGAAGGAAACCGGUUUGUCUAGGGGGGAAGAGGAACUGGACUUGUCUGAAAUCCACGUUCCAGAAGCUCAGGACACGGGAGCAUCCUUGGGUUAUUCUGCCUCCAACGGCGGGCCUCCUGGCUGCAGGGCAUCUGUCAGUGACUCUGGCAACCCCGGAAGCCAGCCACCCGAGGCCCUGCCUGUGGGCACAGCCAUGGAAGGCCCCCUCCCUCCCUCCACUGCUGAGAUGCUCACCCAGAAUGGAGCCCUAGAACGGCCCAGAGACCUCCCUAGCAACAGCAGCCAAGCCCCCGUCCCCAGGGACCACCUCCUCAGCCCGACGAGCGGGCCGUUGCCGUCGCCUUGCUUGGAUUCGAGGCAGACGGGGUCUGAGCUGCCCGUGGGGGAACAAGGCGAGGGGCAGCACGGCGAUGGGGUUCCUGAGGGCCGCUCAGCCUCCAGCCCGGAACGCGCCUCGGGCUCGGCAGGCCCUCCAGGCGACGGCCCCUCCGCAGACAGAUCCGGAUCCAGGGCGACCCCCGUGUCCCUCGCGCGGCUCGUGCGGAUGAACCUCUACACUCACAGCGUCAGAGGCCUGGCGCUGCUGCUGCUGGCCGAGGAGCCGCUGCUGGGAGAUGGCGCGGCCGUCGAGGACGUGUACCACGGCAGCCUGGCGUCCCUCAAUGGGCUGGAGGUGCACCUGAACGAGACGCUGCCCCAGGACCAGGCGGCCCCCGCGGCCAGAACCUAUGGCUUCGCGCACUACGACCGCAUCCAGAACGUGCUGGCGGGCAACCUGCCACAGGUGGCUACAGCCCAGGACCGCCGCUUCCUCCAGGCCGUCAGCCUGAUGCAUUCCGACUUCGCCCGGCUGCCCGCGCUGUACGAAGUAACCGUCAGGAAUGCCUCCACGGCUGUGUACGCCUGCUGCAGCCCUGUCCAGGAAACCUAUUUCCAGCAGCUGGCGCCGGCGGGGCGGAGCUCCGGCUUCCCGAGUCCGCAGGACAGCGCCUUCAGCCUCCCAGGCAAAGCCAAGCAGAAGCUGCUGAAGCACGGGGUGAACUUACUUUGAACCGUGGGUUCGUGACCCCAGCAGAUGACUCUCACACCGAAUCCCAGCAAAGGAAGCUCUGCCUUGUUAAAUGGAAAAGUCCCACUAUUUUGUUUUCCUUGGAAUAGUCCCUCGUUUUUAGGAAUGUAAUGAUAUUUAAGUGUUUGUUGCCCCUUCUGCAGAUUGGCGUUGGAGGAGGUAGCUCUCCGGGUCAGCAGACCUAGAGCACAUGGUAAAGAACUUGAUGAUGUGGGCAGCACUGCGGCCAGACUGGGUGCCUUGGUCCUUACACCCAAGGGGCACAGGGCCAGUGAGCCCCCCCGUCACACUGAGCCCCGGGCGCCUGACAUUUCUUGCUGCUGUUCCACCCCAGCCUUAACUAGGACCACAAAAUCCCAGCCUGGCCAGGUGAGGAAGAGCGCAUGACAGAACGGUCCGUGCGAGGGUGGCGCGCUGUUCCAGGGAGCACCAGCUUCAGCGUGGCUGGACCGCACGCCAGGCCCAUGUCACCCUUUCUGUCUCCUCUCUGGGGUCCCUCCUGCCACUGGCUGGCCUAAGAGGUGAGCUUCCCAGACGGAGGAGGACCACACCUCAAGCUAGGAGAAAUGUACAGUGUCCUACUUCUCUGCCUGAUUCUCCAAGGAAAAGUCCCUUACAAAUCCCGGGGCCAAGCUCUCACGGAACACUCCCGUGACCGCCUUACACAGAACAUGUUCGCUUUCUGUCCUGAGGUAUUUCAAGCAUCCACACUUUUUUCCUCUUGCCACUGAUGCUCCAGAAUCGUGAGAUCUCCAAGUCCUGAGUUUGGUGAAAUUCUGACCUGUUACGUGUUGACACAGGGACAGAACCUGGAGCCCCUGAGCCCAUUUUCAUCUGCGCCCCCGGUACCUCGGCUAACUACCUGGGCUCAAGGACUCUUCCAAACAAGAUCUGCUUCACAAGGAAAUCUCCUGCCUGUCUCUGAGCCCUUUCCUGGCUGUCAGGCCAUUGGCAGAGCUUAAUCUCCUCUGUUUUGCUUUCAGAAACCUCUCUUCCCAUCUAAUUUCCCAGGGCUGCUGUUGAGCCUAAAAUGUGUGUAAUACAAAAUGCUUGUUCCUGAGAAUCAGUGCUCGAGGCAGCCCGGUGCUUCCCUCUGAGCUGAGUCUCAGCGAUCACAGGUAUGAAGUCCUGUGAUCUCGGGUCCGCACAGCAGAAUGUGAGACCUGCAUGUGACGGCCAUUUUAAAAUAAGUCCACAAUUUCUUUGCUACAAAUUAGGGACCUGAUUCUCCCCCUUGAAUGUGGGCUGUACUUAGUGAUUCGUUUUCAAUGACUAGAAUGUGGCAAAAAUGACAGUGUGACUUCUGAGAGUAGGUUAUGAAACAUCACAGCUGCCACCUCUCUCUCAGUUCACCUGUUUUGGGGAGAAGCUGACAUCCGGGCAGCCCUAUGGAGAAGCCCUCGUGGUGAGGGUCUCCUGCCCACGGCCACGUGAGUGAGCCUUCUUGGAAGCAGGUCCCCCAGCCCGGGUGCCUUCAGAGGACUGCAGCCCCUGCCGACACGUGACUCAACCUCGUAAGAAACAGCCAGAACCAUCAAGCCGAACCACUUCUGAACUAGCCCUCAGGCAGCGUGGGAGACAAUAAAUGUGUGUUGUUUUACGCCA